UUCUGAGACUUCCACGGCUAGCAAUUUCUGGCCACUGAUUUUUGCCCAAGUGGGAAACCUGGUGAGAUUCAGGCAGUCUGAGUGCUGAAUCCUCUUUCCUCUCCUCUCUGGACAGCCUGGCUAAAGGGAAAGAAGUUUGGGCCACUGGGCAGAGCCGCGGAGCCUCCAGAUCCUAGGAAGGCCUGUUGAUCAGCAGCUGGGACGCUCGCUCUCACGGGAAGACGGAAGAUGGGCAGUGAUGACAGCAAAUCUCAGCACGCAGACAUGUUCAAAAAACACAGAUCCUAAAAGCCAGGCACCUGCAGUUCCCGCUGCCAUAACGGGGGUCAUCCAGAAUUGAAGAAAUUAUCUGCAUGAAACUGGUGGGCAGAAGUCAUGUGGUUAUUGGCUGAGCAUAAGUGAGAUCUUCUCUGCCCGUGUGGAACCACGCUGAAGCCAAGACCAGGUAAGGUUACAUGCAAGCAACGGAAACAGAACCUGAACGUACACAAAUGGUUCCCCGUGAG